CGCGUAGGCGGUUUAUCAAGCUUGAUGUGAAAGACCCCGGCUUAACCGGGGGAACGCGUUGAGAACUGUUAGACUAGAGUAUAAGAGGGGGAGUUGGAAUUCCUAGUGUAGGGGUGAAAUCUGUAGAUAUUAGGAAGAACACCGGUGGCGAAGGCGAACUCCUGGCUAUAUACUGACGCUGAGGCGCGAAAGUGUGGGGAGCGAACAGGAUUAGAUACCCUGGUAGUCC
rnacentral:rRNA from 1 species